rnacentral:rRNA from 1 species
GGCUGUCCGCAGGCUACCUGCAGUCGAGCGGUAGCACAGAAGAUCUUGCUCUCGGGUGACGAGCGGCGGACGGGUGAGUAAUGUCUGGGAAACUGCCUGAUGGAGGGGGAUAUCUACUGGAAACGGUAGCUAAUACCGCAUAACGUCUUCAGACCAAAGAGGGGGACCUUCAGGCCUCUUGCCAUCAUAUGUGCCCAGAUGGGAUUAGCUAGUAGUUGAGGUAAGGGCUCACCUAGGCGACGAUCCCUAGCUGGUCUGAGAGGAUGACCAGCCACACUGGAACUGAGACACGGUCCACACUCCUACGAGGGGCAGCAGUGGGGAAUAUUGCACAAUGGGCGCAAGCCUGAUGCACCCAUGCCGCGUGUGUGAAGAAGGCCUUCGGGUUGUAAAGCACUUUCAGCGGGGAAGAAGGCGGAGAGAUUAAUACUCUCAUCUAUUGACGUUACCCGCAGAAGAAGCACCGGCUAACUCCGUGCCAGCACCCGCGGUAAUACGGAGGGUGCAAGCGUUAAUCGGAAUGACUGGGCGUAAAGCGCACGCAGGCGGUUUGUUAAGUCAGAUGUGAAAUCCCCGAGCUUAACUUGGGAACUGCAUUUGAAACUGGCAAGCUAGAGUCUUGUAGAGGGGGGUAGAAUUCCAGGUGUAGCGGUGAAAUGCGUAGAGAUCUGGAGGAAUACCGGUGGCGAAGGCGGCCCCCUGGACAAAGACUGACGCUCAGGUGCGAAAGCGUGGGGAGCAAACAGGAUUAGAUACCCUGGUAGUCCACGCUGUAAACGAUGUCGAUUUGGAGGUUGUGCCCUUGAGGCGUGGCUUCCGGAGCUAACGCGUUAAAUCGACCGCCUGGGGAGUACGGUCGCAAGGUUAAAACUCAAAUGAAUUGACGGGGGCCCGCACAA